UACAGAGGGUGCGAGCGUUAAUCGGAAUUACUGGGCGUAAAGCGUGCGUAGACGGUUAUCUAAGUCGGAUGUGAAAGCCCCGGGCUCAACCUGGGAAUUGCAUUUGUGACUGCACGGCUAGAGUGUGUCAGAGGGGGGUAGAAUUCCACGUGUAGCAGUGAAAUGCGUAGAGAUGUGGAGGAAUACCGAUGGCGAAGGCAGCCCCCUGGGAUAACACUGACGCUCAUGCACGAAAGCGUGGGGAGCAAACAGG
rnacentral:rRNA from 1 species